GUCAAGUCGAGUGCCGUAUGUUAUUGCUGCAUAGAACUCCGCAUGAUACUCGAUGAGUGAGUGACUCCAAAAUCCAUUAUGGUGGUCCUCCUUGAGGUUUACAUCUUCAAGAUUGGAUAUUAUAUGGCAAUGCGAACCACCUAACACGGACAAAAUUAAUGAACAAUUAAGAUAAGGAUCAGUAAGUAAAAUUUGCGUUUAUGAAAAAAAAAAAGAAAAAAAAACAGUCUCCGCUGCAAAAACCAGUUUCCAGAACA